rnacentral:rRNA from 1 species
CAGCCGCCGCGGUAAUACGAAGGGUGCAAGCGUUAAUCGGAAUUACUGGGCGUAAAGCGUGCGCAGGCGGUUAUAUAAGACAGAUGUGAAAUCCCCGGGCUCAACCUGGGACCUGCGUCUGUGACUGUAUAGCUAGAGUACGGUAGAGGGGGAUGGAAUUCCGCGUGUGGCAGUGAAAUGCGUAGAUAUGCGGAGGAACACCGAUGGCGAAGGCAAUCCCCUGGACCUGUACUGACGCUCAUGCACGAGAGCGUGGGGAGCAAACAGGAUUAGAUACCCCGGUAGUCCCUGUCUCUUAUAC